rnacentral:rRNA from 1 species
AUUGAACGCUGGCGGCAUGCCUUACACAUGCAAGUCGAACGGUAACAGGUCUUCGGAUGCUGACGAGUGGCGAACGGGUGAGUAAUACAUCGGAACGUGCCUAGUAGUGGGGGAUAACUACUCGAAAGAGUGGCUAAUACCGCAUGAGAUCUACGGAUGAAAGCAGGGGAUCGCAAGACCUUGUGCUACUAGAGCGGCUGAUGGCAGAUUAGGUAGUUGGUGGGAUAAAAGCUUACCAAGCCGACGAUCUGUAGCUGGUCUGAGAGGACGAUCAGCCACACUGGGACUGAGACACGGCCCAGACUCCUACGGGAGGCAGCAGUGGGGAAUUUUGGACAAUGGGCGAAAGCCUGAUCCAGCAAUGCCGCGUGCAGGAUGAAGGCCUCGGGUUGUAAACUGCUUUGUACGGAACGAAAGACUUCGGUUAAGUACCCUGGAGCCAUGACGGUACCGUAAGAAUAAGACACCGGCUAACUACGUGCC